CGACGUGAGUAACCUGCCUUGGAGUGGGGGAUAACACAGUGAAAACUGUGCUAAUACCGCAUAAUGUAUUUGGGUCGCAUGAUUCUGAAUGCCAAAGAUUUAUCGCUCUGAGAUGGACUCGCGUCUGAUUAGCUGGUUGGCGGGGUAACGGCCCACCAAGGCGACGAUCAGUAGCCGGACUGAGAGGUUGACCGGCCACAUUGGGACUGAGACACGGCCCAG
rnacentral:rRNA from 1 species